AGGCCUCAUCAUAGCACAGAGACAGUGCUGGUUAAAGUGGUAAAUGAUUUACUACUGGCCUCUGAUCAGGGUUGUGUCUCUUUGCUUGUGUUGCUUGACCUUAGUGCAGCUUUUGAUACCAUUGAUCAUGCUAUUCUCUUCGAUAGACUAGAAAAUGUUGUUGGCUUUAAGGGAACGGCCCUUUCCUGGCUCAGGUCUUACUCGACUGAUUGUUAUCAGUUUGUAGACGUAAAUGGUCACUUCUCUACGCAUACUAAGGUCUGGAGGGUUCACAGGCAUAGAGUGUUGUGGUGAAAUGGGAUGUUGGAUGCUGUCGCCCCCACUCUCACGCGUUCACUCAGGUUUGUUGACGGUGGAGUGGCUGGCUGCACUCUGCACGCAAAGUACAUUGUCCUUAACCAUUAGAGGACAAAAGCUUACCUAACAAUCUCUCCCACUCUCUCCAUCUCUCUCUCCCUCUCACUCUCUGUCGAGCUUCACAUGCUACUUCUGCCAGUGAUCCUGACCCCUUCUGCUCUCCGAACCUGCCUGACCCAUCCUGAUGCCCUACUUCUGGUUGGAGUUCUCAUCAGUUGAGUUCGCUCACUGCUGCUGGGGUGGUCCCAUAUGGACGGCCUGAAGAACCAUUUGGAUUGCUGGGGAUGGUGCCACCUGGGGGCUGUGGAGAUGGCUUGGGGAUCACAUAUGGGGAGCUGUACUGUAAUGGCUUGGGACUGCGAUUGCUGUGGUGGCUUUGGGGCUGCAGUUGCCACAAGCACCUUCGUACUCAGGACUCCAUCAGUGAACAGUGGAUAGAUUUUAAUCAACCAGACUUCUUGCGAAAACUGUGAUGAAUUUACUGGUUGCACAUUUGCACUAUUUGUCCAUAUAGUACACAAUAAUAGAAGGGAUUUAUAUAUAGUUGCACUAUCCGUUGCACUCAGAUGAGGAUGGGUUCCCUUUUGAGCCUGGUUCCUCUCAAGGUUUCUUCCUCAUAUUGUCUCAGGGAGUUUUUCCUUGCCACCGUUGCCUCUGGCUUCCUCAUUAGGGAUAAAUUCACAUAUUUACAAUAUAUUUUUUGAAUCCAUUUAUUUCUGUAAAGCUGCUUUGUGACAAUGUCCAUUGUUAAAAGUGCUAUACAAAUAAAAUUGAAUUGAAUUGAA